rnacentral:lncRNA from 1 species
CUAAGAUGCACUGGAGACAGCCGUGGGCUCUUCCCCCACUCCACACACUGGACGUCCAGAGAGCACAGAUGGGACCCUGCUUUCUGUGGAGGUGACUGGGUGCCUACCUGGAUAGGAACUUGGCUGCUAGGGUGCUGUGCCCAGCCACAGGUGCCAAUCCCCACAAAGGGCUCCUCUGUGGAACAUCCACCUGCCAACCCCCGCUCCAUAUGCCUCUGCCUGGUGCCCUGCCCUGGUGGCGACUGACACAGAGCACGGCGCAAAGGCACCAACUCCUCACAGCCACACCCACCCCCCUGUCUAGAAGGCGCCUUCCACCAGGGAUCUGCUGUUUUGAAAAGUCCUUCUGUCCCAGACCUCUGAAUUCGGGCCAGGACAUUUCACAGGUGUCAACCUGAGGUGCCAAGUUGAACCCUACGUGUGUCGCCAUGAGAACAGUGGUCACCACUGUCCCAGCUCUCAGCCUCACCAUGAUGCCCUGCUUUGCCACAAUUGGCUUUUAGGGCUUGGCUGACCUUGGUUCCCCAGAGUAUCUGUGGAUGUGAAGAUCUGCCCAGUGGUCGGUGGCCAUGGGCAACUACUCACCAGCUGGUACAAACCUCUCCCGUUACAGCUCUAGAGACAGCCACAGGCGGCUGGGUGCCCAAGGUGCAAAAGGAUCAGGAGCAAGAACAAGCCAACAGGACGGCAUGAGCUGGGGCAGGCCCCAAAAUACCUCACCAACCUACAUCAGCCCCUCCUGUUCCAGACCCUCAGGUCCUUUGUAGACCACCCUUCUUCCCCAGUCAGCCAGCCUCUCUGCUUGAUGGUACUUCAUCUCUAUGUCAGAAGGGGUCACCUAGAUGUGAGCACACCCUAUGGGGUACCCAUCAACCCUUGCCUCUGGGCACCACAUUCUCCAGGUAGCACAGGUCAUGACAAGGUGGUGCCCGAGACCCAACAUAGGCGUCUCCAGCAAAGCCUGAUGCCACGCUGGUGCUCACAGGAGCUAACAAGCUGACCCCAGAUGGCUCCACAAGCUGGGUAUCCCAAGGACCCGUGUCUGCCACUGCUGGUGUAAAACCAAGUGGCUUGUGUGACCUGAGGCCCAACUAAGGGGACGACCACCCACAGUCUGAGUUACCUGGGAAGGUCAGGCACAGCGCUCUGGACUCCCCUGACCACUUCAUUUAAGUUCGUACGCUUCGACCACCUCUUUCCAUCCCCCGGUUAGGAAAUCACCCCUCCCACGUGAAGCCAGGUGGCCCCCUCUUCCCCCUGCAGUCCUUGCAGGUCCUGGAAAUACGAAACUGAAGACUGUGGACCCUCAUCGGUGACCCAGAUGGCCAAGUGAGGGGGUCUCCUGGAGAAAGGAGGCGCACUCUGCAGCCCACGCACGCACCCCACAGGACUCAGCCAGGGAGGUGGGCAAAGUGUAAGCUCUGAGUUGGAGCUCUCUGAACGCUGCAGACUUAGUUGAAGAAGAACGUUGACUGAAUGUGGUAGCACCCACAGCUUCUAGCUCCCGAAGUGUUGAGGAUGACUUGGUGUCCAUGGUAGGUUCUAGGUUGCACCCGACCCCUGGUCUCUUGUCUUCUGGUGAUGGUAGUGGUCGUGUGUGUGCGCGUGCCCAUGUCCACCCUGUGUAAAUCCAACAGACCCAGGUCUGGGAGGUAGGGCUGUGGCUCACAGCAGCACUGAGUGGCCUCUGGGUACCAUGUGGCAGGCGCACCGUGAGAUGAGCACAAGGAUUCGCCGGGAGACAUGAAGAGCUGUCGCCUGUCUGUGGGUCUCCUCCCCACACCCCACCAGCAUGUCCCACAACUGCUGCCAAGCACGUACAUCUCUCCUGAAAUGGCUAACCAGAGCACAGUUCCCUGUCCCCGCUAUCCCCACACUGAAAAGUUGGUUCCUUCCUAAGGGCCUUGAAAAUGGCACAAGGGUGACAAGGUGUGGUGGGGGGCGGGGGAGGGGGUGAGGGACUCCAGGUUCACUUGCAAAUGUAUCAUAAGACCAAACCUAAGAAUUCAUGUCAGCCUAACUCUCUGCCACGUGGAGAGGUGAAAGCCUCACUCUCCUUGGGGGAAGCAGGUUAGAGCCAUGACCCUUCUCCCUGGUGGUUAGCAGCCUGUGGCCAAGGUCAGGACGUCCAGCAAGGAGACUGAGGUACUGAGCACACAUACUCUCCCUUCCACUGGGCUUGGUGGUCUUAAGCACAUUUCCUGUCACCCCCCAAACAAGCCCAACAAUGGGUGCUCUUUGUCCUGUCACAAGAAGAGCCUGGGGCAUAGACAGAAUCUGACCCGAAGCCCCUGGGCCAAGCACCUGGCCUCUGUGUCCACCCCUGUGGGCUUCCUUUGGCCGUGGAGAUUUCAUCACACCACGGCAUGGGUUCUGGGCUUGGGUCAGGCCGAUAGUCUGAUUGUCCUGUGUGCCCCCCACCUACACCUGAGAGCUUCCCAGCCUGAGAGCAUCUCUUGCUGAAUUUAUGGACUCCUGGCCCAGGAGCAGGUAGAAAAGGGCCUCCAUGUGCCACCGGGCCAUGAAGGGCAGAAUUCACAGAAUUGGUUUGUGUCCAACGGAGCCCCAGAGCCCGAUAAAGAAGCUGGGCUCCCGUUCCUGUACCCAGCUCCCUCUCAGGUGACCCCACACAUCAGGGCAGCCCAGCUUUCUCCACCUGCUCUAGGCAUGCGCCCUUGAGCAACUGCGGCCACUGCACCAGGAGAGCAGGCUUUGUUCUCCUGUGAGCCGCUGGGACGAGGACCCCAGGCACAGCUGCCUCCUGUGUAUUUAUUCAAGGUGACUGCUUAGCAAAGGGAGGUCUCACUGUGUGACUGUAUCUUAAUAUAAUUUGUUAAAUAAAUGUUUGUUUUAACCUCGUU